AGUGAACGCUGGCGGUAGGCCUAACACAUGCAAGUCGAACGGCAGCACAGUAAGAGCUUGCUCUUACGGGUGGCGAGUGGCGGACGGGUGAGGAAUACAUCGGAAUCUACUUUUUCGUGGGGGAUAACGUAGGGAAACUUACGCUAAUACCGCAUACGACCUACGGGUGAAAGCAGGGGAUCUUCGGACCUUGCGCGAUUGAAUGAGCCAAUGUCGGAUUAGCUAGUUGGCGGGGUAAAGGCCCACCAAGGCGACGAUCCGUAGCUGGUCUGAGAGGAUGAUCAGCCACACUGGAACUGAGACACGGUCCAGACUCCUACGGGGGGCAGCAGUGGGGAAUAUUGGACAAUGGGCGCAAGCCUGAUCCAGCCAUACCGCGUGGGUGAAGAAGGCCUUCGGGUUGUAAAGCCCUUUUGUUGGGAAAGAAAAGCAGCAGGUUAAUACCCCGCUGUUCUGACGGUACCCAAAGAAUAAGCACCGGCUAACUUCGUG
rnacentral:rRNA from 1 species